GAAUUAUUUUAGGAUUAAUAGUGUCAAUCCAGUAAUAUAAAGCCACGCUUAAAUAUAAUAUGUCUUGUGUCAAUAUUGGAAUUAUUCUUGUUUCUGACUGUUUCAUAAAGUAUCAUUAUCAUAAUAUCAGUAUCGUUAAGCUUGACACCAAGAUUCAUUAUCGUAGAAAUGACAAGUGUCUACAAGGUCGUCUGAUUGGUUCUACGCUGUGGGUCAAGGUCUCAAGCCAUUUCUUUCAUUGAAUGACUUAAAAAGUGACAGACUAUACAAGCUUUGCUCUGAGACGUAAUGAGUGUAGAAGAUGGUGGGGUUCCACUUACCGCUGAU